rnacentral:rRNA from 1 species
CUACGGGGCGCUGCAGUGAGGAAUAUUGCACAAUGGGGGGAACCCUGAUGCGGCAACGCCGCGUGGAGGAUGACGCAUUUCGGUGUGUAAACUCCUUUUAUAUGUCAAGAAAAUGACGGUAGCAUAUGAAUAAGCACCGGCUAACUCCGUGCCAGCAGCCGCGGUAAUACGGAGGGUGCAAGCGUUACUCGGAAUCACUGGGCGUAAAGGACGCGUAGGCGGGUUGGAAAGUCAGGUGUGAAAUCCUACAGCUUAACUGUAGAACUGCACUUGAAACUUCUAAUCUAGAGUAUGGGAGGGGGAGAUGGAAUUAGUGGUGUAGGGGUAAAAUCCGUAGAUAUCACUAGGAAUACCUAAAGCGAAGGCGAUCUCCUGGAACAUUACUGACGCUAAGGCGUGAAAGCAUGGGGAGCAAACAGGAUUAGAUACCCCUGUAGUC